rnacentral:tRNA from 1 species
GGAGGGUUGGCCGAGUGGUUUAUGGCGCUGGUCUUGAAAACCAGUUGAGUCGAAAGACUUUCACAGGUUCGAAUCCUGUACCCUCCG